rnacentral:rRNA from 1 species
UAGGGAAUAUUGGGCAAUGGAUGCAAGUCUGACCCAGCCAUGCCGCGUGCAGGAUGAAGGCCUUCGGGUUGUAAACUGCUUUUGUACGGAACGAAAAGACUCCUUCUAAUAAAGGGGGUCCAUGACGGUACCGUAAGAAUAAGCACCGGCUAACUACGUGCCAGCAGCCGCGGUAAUACGUAGGGUGCGAGCGUUAAUCGGAAUUACUGGGCGUAAAGCGUGCGCAGGCGGUUAUGCAAGACAGAGGUGAAAUCCCCGGGCUCAACCUGGGAACUGCCUUUGUGACUGCAUAGCUAGAGUACGGUAGAGGGGGAUGGAAUUCCGCGUGUAGCAGUGAAAUGCGUAGAUAUGCGGAGGAACACCGAUGGCGAAGGCAAUCCCCUGGACCUGUACUGACGCUCAUGCACGAAAGCGUGGGGAGCAAACA